ACUCAGGCGUUGGAAAUGCCUCAUAGAUUAAUUGUAUUGUUUCCUUUACUCAUAGAACUACCUGUUAGAUCUGUGGGAAAGAACUUCAAGACAGAG
rnacentral:snoRNA from 1 species